AAGAAAUUUCAGGGAGAUGGAAAAGGCACCAUGCAUUAUGUCACCAGUGUGCUGAAUGAGUGGGGGCAGUUUCUGACAACUGUUGUGGUCGCCUCCGAGUCGGAGCAAUGUUACAGGAGGCUUGCUCAGGGACUCAUCGCACGCUUUAAACGUGCCAAUGCUGCAGCGCCAAAGGUGCUCUACGCUGACAACAACUGUUGUAGGGAUGGUGGGACCUCAUGUCUUGCAUCCCUCUUCCAAGACUGGACUGACGAUGGUAUGGUCAUCAGACUUGACAUUUGGCACUGGCUCCACCGGUGGGAUAUGCUGGUGCAGUACUGGCAUACAACAAACAUGACAUGGACCAACUCAUCCAAGCCAUCCGCAAAGGGAACAAGGACUUCUCACAGUACAGAGAUUAUGAAAUGAGGCUGUCUUUCGGCAAGCCACAUUGAUCAGGCAUCAGCUUAUGUGCGCCGAGUGACAUGUGGCCGGUGUCCAGGCCUGAGAGUGCAUCUGCUGUUGAGUACAUCCUGGAAGGGUCCAGCUGGUCUAGACAUCGAUGGCAUCCCCCUUGUUUAAGUCACCAGAAGCUGUCGAUGUGCAGUGGGCAACUGCCGGUAAACAUCUGAGUUGUAUGUAGGAUCCACCAAAUAUCUAGCUGUACGUGGCGACCAAGGUUGUUACUAUCAAUGGGGUACAGCUGAACAAGUACAGGUGUCGAAGAGGCAGCGACACCUUGGAAGGGCUCCAUGCCUACAUGCCAUCCCUUUGAAGCGAUGUGGAAUCAUUCCUUUCCAGGUUUAUCUCAUCUCCUUUGCCAUGCAAUGGAAUAACCGCAUGGAAAAACUGAAGGUUGCUGGAGGGCGAGGACGACUGACUUCAUGUGUCGAUCCACGACAAAUUCAAACCAGCAUGCAGAGAUCUUGUUUGGGAAGGACCAUUUGUUUGAGCCCAAUUUUUCUGCACCAAUGGUCACCCCAGACUAUGACGACCCUGCAGAAGAAGAGCUUUUGGGAGUGGACUAUGCCUACUGCCAGUCCACUGACUUCUCAUCCAAGAAAUAUUACAUUCAAAAAGGUGAGAAAAACUUUCAUAGCAUACAAAAAGUUCACGUUAAAGUUCUUUCCCAUGUCCUAAGACACAUAGGGUGGUACCUAUCUAUGUUUUCUUAGCCUUGAGAUACACAGCCACAUUAUGGUUAGAAUACAUAGGUUUGUG